CCUACGGGAGGCAGCAGUGGGGAAUAUUGGGCAAUGGGCGCAAGCCUGACCCAGCAACGCCGCGUGAAGGAAGAAGGCUUUCGGGUUGUAAACUUCUUUUAAGAGGGAAGAGCAGAAGACGGUACCUCUUGAAUAAGCCACGGCUAACUACGUGCCAGCAGCCGCGGUAAUACGUAGGUGGCAAGCGUUGUCCGGAUUUACUGGGUGUAAAGGGCGUGCAGCCGGGAAGACAAGUCAGAUGUGAAAUCCCGCGGCUCAACCGCGGAACUGCAUUUGAAACUGUUUUUCUUGAGUACCGGAGAGGUCAUCGGAAUUCCUUGUGUAGCGGUGAAAUGCAUAGAUAUCACGCAGAACUCCGAUUGCGAAGGCAGCAUACCGGCGCUCAACUGACGCUCAUGCACGAAAGUGUGGGUAUCGAACAGGAUUAGAUACCCGUGUAGUC
rnacentral:rRNA from 1 species